UACGUAGGGGGGCUAGCGUUGUCCGGAAUCAUUGGGCGUAAAGCGCGCGUAGGCGGCCCUGUUAGUCCGCUGUAAAAGUCAAAGGCUCAACCUUUGAAUGCCGGUGGAUACUGCAGGGCUAGAGUCCGGAAGAGGCGAGUGGAAUUCCUGGUGUAGCGGUGAAAUGCGCAGAUAUCAGGAAGAACACCCGUGGCGAAGGCGGCUCUCUGGGACGUGACUGACGCUGAGACGCGAAAGCGUGGGGAGCAAACAGG
rnacentral:rRNA from 1 species